ensembl:lncRNA
CCCGCCCCCCCCCCGCCCUGCCCUCUUCCCUUUUGUUCUGACUCUCUUGGGAAGAGGAGUUGGAGGAUUGUUUAAGGGCACUUACUGAAAGGAAGCUGUUGUUUGAUAUUUGUCUUCAGCGGCAAACAAUAAAUGGACGUCGGAUUUCCCGAGUCCGGACUGAGAUCCUGGGUCACGUCUUUGUCCAAGAAAAAUACACAACGCAGAUUCAGCCGGUCACAAGGCUGUAAUCUGAAGUUUUUUUGAUUGAUGAGAAUACAACACGUAUCAAUCCAUCUGCUUUAGUAGUGUAUUUGAUGCCAUCAUAAAUUAUGUGCCUGCAGUUAUCUUACUGGAUUUGGUUGAGCUUGAAAGCCAGUCAGCUGAGACUAUAUCAAACCUUCUCUUUAUAAUGUCUCCAAAUGUGGGGACAGGAGGGAAAGCAUCAUAAAGGCAAACUUCAUUGCUUUUGCAUGUGAGAGUGCAAAUGCCAUGUUAGGCAGGAAGGCUAAUGCAGAAGUAUCCCAAUCUUUAAGUGUGGCACUGUCUCAAUCACAGAGUAUAAUUAUCUGUGGUUGAUACAGUCAAACAUUUAAAUAAUAAUAUUAUCAUUUUAUCGAACCCUAUACUGCCGGGAACUGGCUCAACGUGCACAACAAAAUAAAGUGAAUCUGCAGAAGAUUGGGAGGGUCCAUGAUCUUUGAUGGCAGCCAGCAGCUUCAGAACGGUGAAGGCUGUAUGGAUCUACUACAAAGCUUUGCAUUACCGCUUCAAUGCUUCUUCUGGAGAUGCCUCAAGGGACGAGAAGGAGAAGGCUAUGAACAGCGGCCUGAUAGCCAACAUCGAGACACAUGGAGGCACACAUUAGACUAAUUUCUUCAACCAUAGCUACUCCAGUUGAAUAAUGGCGGAAGGCCCUUACAGCUGCAUAGAGACUGGAGUUUUGUGGUAUCUCCUUAAAAACCAGUGUGAGGAUACGACCGAUAGAUUCAACAAAGUUCCUUCAUUCACUUAUUGAGAAUCCAGAGGACAGGUGGUUUAGCACUGGCUCAAGCAGACAUCCAAGUGCAACACCUGAGAACAAAGCUCUGCAUACAGACUUCUUUGAUACAGUUCUUAAUCCAGAAAGCUGGCCUGUGGCCUCAGAUGAACGUUAUGGAGAGGGUUUGCAUCAAACAACAGUUCACGUUUGACCCAAGGGGAGUGCUUGAGGGCUUCUGAGAUUAUAAAAAGGACUCUGGUAUAAUACCUGACGACUGGUCCCACAAUCAUUAAUAUUCUCAGCCUCGUACCUGCGAGCAGUGCAGAAGGCGAACCAGGGUUCAGUUGAAUGAAUAUUAUCAUCAAUCCGCUGAGGUGUAGUGUGCUGAAGAAGACUGCGUCGUCAUUGCUGUUUGUUAGUCUGAAUGGUCCUCCGUUGUCCAAGGGGAACUCAAAAGGAGUAUGUAAAGUGUUGGCCGGUGAAGCAUAGAGGAGCACACGGUCACGCGCCUGCAAGCCAACCCCUCAAGUGGAAAACGGGGCGCUCUGAGCGGUGUUGUGAUUAUUCUUAUUAUAUUAUUUGUGGGCAAGCUAUAGUCGUUUUUCUGCUAAUCAACUGUAAAUAGUAUUUUUUUCUAAUUGUAAGGUAUCGUUCAGAAUUCUACUGUGAUUGCAGUUUGUCAUAUAACAUUUUGUGCUACAUUCUCCAAAUAAAUAAACCAGCAUUCUCAAUAUAA